ACGACCCCAUUUGCUCCCUUAUCUCACGACUCCGGGACACACACGGACAUUCCAUCGCACGAACACACACACACCUAGCCAUAAUGGGACACACAAACAUCUUCUUGCAUAAACACACACUCCACUCCCCUUUCUACUGGGCAGGAGCCAGGAUGGGACGACUUCACAGGGCACCAAUAAGGCUCCUGCACAGGCUCGGUCAGGACCCGCCUCCAACCUUCACCAACCAGUCAGAAGACAGAACUACAAGAGUCAACCUGCGUCAUUCUAUGUACAAAAUCUGUUGCACACUCUUUAGGGAUCCUUGUCAGCUGCCUCCUUCUGAGCCAUAUGACUAGCUAAUCAUCAACAAAACUUGGUAGCAGAGGAUGGUUUAAACAUCUAAAUUCGAUCUAUGACAAGUUGAUGUGAGGGGAGACAAAUCAUUGGGUGCAAACCAGACGGAAGAGUGACCUGUCGCCAGGAGACAUCGGCCAUUCAACUUGCCUCAGGAAACUGAUCACAGAGCUCGACAUAAAAGUUAAGCAGAGCCUGUUAAAUCAAAAAUAUGCAUAUUGUAUUUUAGUCAAUUGCCAAAUUUUGAUCAGUAGUACUGGGCGUGAGUAUGAAUUGCUGUUAAAUUACUUUUAAAAAUUAAAGGCAUGGUUAAAAGAUAUCUUGCAUUAAUAGAUUAACCGAAUCUGCAUGUAAAAUGUCCUAUUGAUACGUUGUGUACUAUCGAAUAGGUCUUGUAGAGGUGUGGUUAAAUAUAUUACUUAAAUUGUGUAAGAGUUGAGGUCAAGUAGAAAGCUAAGAUAGCUAAAGCAUGUGCAGGUUCGAAGUUGACCUGGGUUGAAGCCCUGCCUCUGGCGUUGAUGGCCAUGAGAGCCUCACCAGGAGCAGGCACCCAUCUCUCUCCUCAUGAGAUAAUGACUGGAAGAGUCAUGCCUGGUCCACCAAGGGAGGGAGGUCAUAUGCCCGCUCUUGAUGUACAACAAAUUGUAAUGUCUGAUUAUGUGAAAAAACUGACGGUUCUCUCUGCAGCACUCUCUACCCAGGUUCACAAGGUCCAGGAGGGGGAGCUGCCAGGAGACACGCCACCACUGAUGGUAAAAGUUGGUGACUGGGUGAGGGUUAAAGUCCACAAGAGAAAGUGGCUGGAACCCAGGUGGACUGGACCGUACGAAGUGAAGGAGGUUACUUCACACUCAGUCCAGGUCAAAAGUAAAUCAGGCGCACCUUGGCACCACCUUACACAUUGCACCCAGCCCCAACUCCUUCCAGAACACUGACUGAAGUCAGAGCUGAUUUGAACAGCCUAAAUUUGGUACCAAAUGGAGACACUCCUGACUCAGGUGAUGGAGCAUCAAACUCCACCUCCCCUGAAAAGGGAACCUCGCCCAGUUAAAGGGACAUCUCUCUUCUUGGGCGAGGCUAGAACUAUCUGGGCCCUUGUUUGUGAUCCUGCAAAUUGCUUACCGUGGGACGCAGUCUACCCAGUAGUCUCCGCCAUAGCGGAAAAACCUAAAUCAUAGCUAAAAAACCUAAAUGUGGUCGAUGAAAGAAGGGAGUGGUGUUCUAACCAAGUGCUGAGAAAAAAGGUAGAUUUAUUUUGUUCUUUUAAUUAAUUUACACAAGUACUUCCCGGUUAUUGAUUUUGGUUUGAUUGUUCAGAUAACACCAUUGAAAUUAAACAGGAGGUUAAGGUAUACUAACAUUAGAAUCUGUUUUCAUUAUGGGGAACAAUGAAAGGCCCGCAGAAUGGACUGCAGGCUGAGUUAUGUUAAAGGGACAGUAUACAUUUAUCACAGGUGUGUGUGUGUCUAAUGGCUGGGUAUUUAAGGAGUAUUUUGGGGAGAAAAUGUGGAGAAACACGAAUAAAAUAUGAAACGUCAAGAGAUUUAAAACAAACGAUGUGAAGGGAUUAUCAGAAUUAUAGGGUGUCGUUGUAGUAGUACAAGUUUGUGUUAAGGGGAUUUCCCUGUUCCCAGUGACAAGGUAUUUUAAAGGUGUACACUCACGUAUGCUGGUAUGAGUUUUAAUUAAAACAAGUAAAUAACG